UGGACAACUUGGCAGGAGCUCAGGACCAAAUCUCAGACGGACUCUGAGCUCAUAUUAGCUAUGCUGCUUGAGGCGAGGGAGUUUAUCCUUUGUGAGCAGUGGGUGGCGCUCUAUCCUGUAUCUGAUCAGCUCAGACUACAGCUGCAGACUGAGCAUUUGCUUCAUCUGCUGGAGGAGGGACAGACAGAUGAGGCUUUUGAGUUGCUUGAGAGCCUGUC